rnacentral:rRNA from 1 species
GAUGAACGCUAGCGACAGGCUUAACACAUGCAAGUCGAGGGGCAGCGGGGAUGAAGGCUUGCUUUCAUCUGCCGGCGACCGGCGCACGGGUGAGUAACACGUAUGCAACCUGCCCUGCACAGUGGGAUAAUCCGGAGAAAUCCGGUCUAAUACCGCAUGACGACCCUUGGGGACAUCCCUUGGGGUCCAAAGGGAGCGAUUCCGGUGCAGGAUGGGCAUGCGGCGCAUUAGCCAGUCGGCGGGGUAACGGCCCACCGAGGCGACGAUGCGUAGGGGUUCUGAGAGGAAGGCCCCCCACACUGGUACUGAGACACGGACCAGACUCCUACGGGAGGCAGCAGUGAGGAAUAUUGGUCAAUGGGCGCGAGCCUGAACCAGCCAAGUCGCGUGAGGGAAGACGGUCCUAAGGAUUGUAAACCUCUUUUGCCGGGGAGCAACGGUGCCACGCGUGGCAGAAGUGAGAGUACCCGGAGAAAAAGCAUCGGCUAACUCCGUGCCAGCAGCCGCGGUAAUACGGAGGAUGCGAGCGUUAUCCGGAUUCAUUGGGUUUAAAGGGUGCGCAGGCGGAAGGUUAAGUCAGCGGUAAAAUUGAGGGGCUCAACCCCUUCCCGCCGUUGAGACUGGUUUUCUUGAGUGGGCGAGAAGUACGCGGAAUGCGAGGUGUAGCGGUGAAAUGCAUAGAUAUCACGCAGAACUCCGAUUGCGAAGGCAGCGUACCGGCGCCCUACUGACGCUGAGGCACGAAAGCGUGGGGAUCGAACAGGAUUAGAUACCCUGGUAGUCCACGCAGUAAACGAUGAAUACUAAUUGUCCGGUCCUCCGGGGCUGGGUGAUACAGCGAAAGCGUUAAGUAUUCCACCUGGGGAGUACGCCGGCAACGGUGAAACUCAAAGGAAUUGACGGGGGCCCGCACAAGCGGAGGAACAUGUGGUUUAAUUCGAUGAUACGCGAGGAACCUUACCCGGGCUCAAACGCAGCCGGACGUACCGUGAAAGCGGUAUUUCCCUCGGGACUGGCUGCGAGGUGCUGCAUGGUUGUCGUCAGCUCGUGCCGUGAGGUGUCGGUUUAAGUGCCAUAACGAGCGCAACCCCCACCGGCAGUUGCUAACAGGCAACGCUGAGGACUCUGCCGGGACUGCCGGCGCAAGCUGCGAGGAAGGCGGGGAUGACGUCAAAUCAGCACGGCCAUUACGUCCGGGGCGACACACGUGUUACAAUGGCAGGUACAGCGGGAGGCCAUAUGGCGACAUAGCGCGGAGCCCGAAAACCUGUCUCAGUUCGGAUUGGAGUCUGCAACCCGACUCCAUGAAGCUGGAUUCGCUAGUACUCGCGCAUCAGCCACGGCGCGGUGAAUACGUUCCCGGUCUU